CCCGUGUCCAAAUAGGUCACGUUCAUUCAUUUUGAAACAGGAAGAAGCAUCGAUAUGAAGAUAAUUCGUAUUGUUGCUAACUGCUAAAAAGAAGAAGUUGUUUGCCAUGUGGUGCAUUCUACACAUUUUCAGUCCAAGUUCUGCCGGGUUGAGGGGUCCCUGCUGCAGUUUUACCAGUAAAGAAAAUACUCAUUAUAAUUCACUUGGAGGACUACAUAAGCCAUGCAGUGGUGCAUGGAGGAGCGCCAAGAGGACAUAAAGUGGAAGUCUGCAAAGGUCCAUCAUGGUGCUGGAAACAGAGUGACUGUGAUUUAUUCUAUGGGGUGGUGAAAGGUCCUGCCUUUCUACAGAUGAACAGUAAAAAUCAACAGAAUGCCAUCAAAGCAAAUGAAGCAAGAGAUGUCUUUUUAUUCAUCUUUGAGUAUCUGGAGGAGCUGGACACAUUCAUAUCAAAUUGUCUUGAUGAACAAGGCCUCAUGCCAUGUUCUGUGAAUAGUCUUUCAGAGCAAAUCUCUCUCCGUGUAGCCCAUGUAUGUAGUUAUGUGUACUGCAUAACAAACUGUUUGUUUGAUCAUUCAACUGUUCAUUCAACUUCUCAGACUUAUGAUAUUUGGAACAUAUAUUAUGUUAAACACAAUUAGUCAAAAGUUUUUGAACAGUAAGAUUUUUAAUGUUUUUUUAAAGAAGUCUCUUCUGCCCACCAAGCCUGGAUUUAUUUGAUCCAAAGUACAGCAAAAACAGUAACAUUUUAAAAUAUUUUUACUAUUUAAAAUAACUUUUUCUAUUUGAAACAGUUUUCUAUAUUUCUAUUAAAAUGUAAUUAAUUCCACUGAUUUCAAAUAUGACGUUUAGCAUUACUCCAGUCACAUGAUCCUUCAGAAAUCAUUAUAUAUUCUAAUUUGCUGCUCAAUAUUAUUAUUGUUAUUAUUAUUACUAUUAUUAUUAAGUUAAAAACAGCUGAGUAGCUUUUUUUCAGGUUUCUUUGAUGAAUAGAAAGUUCAGAAGAACAGCAUUUAUCUGAAAUAGAAAUCUUUUGAAACAUUAUAAAUGUCUUUAUCAUCACUUUUGUUUAAUCUAAAGCAUCCUUGCUAAAUAAAAGUAUUAAUUUCUAUAAUCUAUUAAUUCUGUAAUAAUGUGUAUGUAUGUACACACUGACUCCAAGCUUUUGAAUAGUAAAGUGUAUAAUGUUACAAAAGCCUUUUUAUUUCAGAUAAAUGCUGAUCUUUGGAUAUUUCUAUUUAUCAAAGAAUCCAGAAAAAAAUGUACUCAACUGCUUUAAAUAUUGAUGAUAAUCAGAAAUGUUUUUAUUGAGCAGUAAAUCAGCAUAUUAGAAUGAUUUCUGAAGGAUCAAGUGACACAGAAGACUGUAAUGAUGUAAUGAUGCUGAACAUUUAGCUUUGAUCAAAGAAAUAUAUUACACUUCAAAAUAUAUUCAAAUAGAAGCUUAAAUUGUGUGUCAUUUUGGAUCAAAUAAAUGCAGGCUUGGUGAGCAAAGACUCUUCUUUGGAAAAAAAAAAACAAUAAAAAAAAACUUUUGGCUGGUGAAAAAAUAAAUAUAAAAUGCACAAAGAAGUAAUGGAUGUCUUUUUAUUCAUCUUUAAGUAUGUGGAGGACCUGGACACAUUUCAUAACACUUAUUUAAACAAUCAAAGCAAUCAACCUCUAUUUAUGUAUGUGUAGCCUACUGCAUAUGGAGAACUGCUGAUUCUAUCAUUUAAAUGUUAACACUUUAUGAUAAGUGGAACACAGCUUAAAAAAAUAAAAUAAAAUAAAAAUAAGUGACAAUUAUACAAUACCAACUAUUACAAUGAUUUUACAUACUUUUACAAUACCAAAAAUCGAACUGUCCCCUUUAAAUUUGAUACAUUUAAAAUUCCUAAAGUCGAUCGUAAUAAAUGUGAUUUUAUCUCAUAACAUAAAUGAACAAGGUAAGGUUUAAAGGUUUUUAUUAACAAUUAGUCUAAUGUAGUCAAUGCAAGCGUAUUACAGGCUGUCAUGAUGACGAAAUCAGCUCCGUAUAUUAGACUUUUUAAAUAUAUUAGAUUUAAGCUGUGGCAUUUUAGCCUGGACAUCCUUUACACAGAUAAGAAAACGUGUAUUAGUAAAACGAAGGACAAUGGCCUAUUAUUUUAUAUAGAUCCCCGAAACUACUGUAAGUUGCUUCGACAUACUUCCGGGUUUCCCCGGUAUAGGGAUUGGGGAAUCACAAGGUGACAUGUUUCAUA